rnacentral:rRNA from 1 species
AUUGAACGCUGGCGGCAGGCCUCACACAUGCAAGUCGACCGAGUGGCGGACGGGUGAGUAAUGUCUGGGCAACUGCCCGCUGGAGGGGGAUAACUACUGGAAACGGUAGCUAAUACCGCAUACCCUCGGCUUUGCCCAGAUGGGAUUAGCUAGUAGGUGGGGUAACGGCUCACCUAGGCGACGAUCCCUAGCUGGUCUGAGAGGAUGACCAGCCACACUGGAAAUGAGACACGGUCCAGACGCCUACGGGAGGCAGCAGUGGGGAAUAUUGCACAAGGGGCGCAAGCCUGAUGCAGCCAUGCCGCGUGUAUGAAGAAGGCAUGCGGGUUGUAAAGUACUUUCAGCGAGGAGGCGUUACUCGAAGAAGAAGCACCGGCUAACUCAGUGCCAGCAGCCGCGGUAAUAC